rnacentral:rRNA from 1 species
UACGUAGGGGGCUAGCGUUGUUCGGAAUUACUGGGCGUAAAGCGUGCGCAGGCGGCUUCUCAAGUCAGGGGUGAAAGCCCAGAGCUCAACUCUGGAAUUGCCUUUGUGACUGCAUAGCUAGAGUACGGUAGAGGGGGAUGGAAUUCCGCGUGUAGCAGUGAAAUGCGUAGAUAUGCGGAGGAACACCGAUGGCGAAGGCAAUCCCCUGGACCUGUACUGACGCUCAUGCACGAAAGCGUGGGGAGCAAACAGG